AGUGAACGCUGGCGGUAGGCCUAACACAUGCAAGCCGAACGGCAGCACAGUAAGAGCUUGCUCUUACGGGUGGCGAGUGGCGGACGGGUGAGGAAUACAUCGGAAUCUACUUUUUCGUGGGGGAUAACGUAGGGAAACUUACGCUAAUACCGCAUACGACCUACGGGUUAAAGCAGGGGAUCUUCGGACCUUGCGCGAUUGAAUGAGCCGAUGUCGGAUUAGCUAGUUGGCGGGGUAAAGGCCCACCAAGGCGACGAUCCGUAGCUGGUCUGAGAGGAUGAUCAGCCACACUGGAACUGAGACACGGUCCAGACUCCUACGGGAGGCAGCAGUGGGGAAUAUUGGACAAUGGGCGCAAGCCUGAUCCAGCCAUACCGCGUGGGUGAAGAAGGCCUUCGGGUUGUAAAGCCCUUUUGUUGGGAAAGAAAAGCAGCAGGUUAAUACCCCGCUGUUCUGACGGUACCCAAAGAAUAAGCACCGGCUAACUUCGUG
rnacentral:rRNA from 1 species